AUUGAACGCUGGCGGCAGGCCUAACACAUGCAAGUCGAGCGGUAGAGAGAAGCUUGCUUCUCUUGAGAGCGGCGGACGGGUGAGUAAUGCCUAGGAAUCUGCCUAGUGGUGGGGGAUAACGUUCGGAAACGGACGCUAAUACCGCAUACGUCCUACGGGAGAAAGCGGGGGAUCUUCGGACCUCGCGCCAUUAGAUGAGCCUAGGUCGGAUUAGCUAGUUGGUGAGGUAAUGGCUCACCAAGGCGACGAUCCGUAACUGGUCUGAGAGGACGACCAGCCACACUGGAACUGAGACACGGUCCAGACUCCUACGGGAGGCAGCAGUGGGGAAUUUUGGACAAUGGACGCAAGUCUGAUCCAGCCAUUCCGCGUGCAGGAUGAAGGCCCUCGGGUUGUAAACUGCUUUUGUACGGAACGAAAAGGUUUCUAUUAAUACUAGGAGCUCAUGACGGUACCGUAAGAAUAAGCACCGGCUAACUACGUG
rnacentral:rRNA from 1 species